UUUGAAUGAAAUGAAUUGAGUACUUUUUUAGGAAGAAUCACCAGAUAGGAACAGAAAGAAAUCUGCUCGUUCCCCUAGAAAAACACAGAAAAAUCAUGUGGAUUCUGAUCAGGAUCAUGAAGAAGCAGAUGAAGAAUCACCAGAUAGGAAUAGAAAGAAAUCUGCUCGUUCCCCCAGAAAAACGCGGAAAAAUCAUGUUGAUUCUGAUCAGGAUUAUGAAGAGGCAGAUGAAGAGGGCCCCCCCUAAUUAGAUAAGACCGAGGAAUAUUGGAGAAACUGAUAUAGAAACUUUGGUUCAUAAAUGUGUCUAUUAUCUGCUUAUUGCUGACCAAAAGAAGCAUGCUAUUAAAAAAACAG